GUGGAGACACUUGUGGGUGAGAUGGAGGCCCGAAAGGUAGUUUUGUUCGGCGGUCACGGGAUUGGAAUCGCCAACAACAAAAAGCAGAAUGCUGUAUAUGUACGCCGAUUUCUGAUGGCCAUGAUUUGAUUUAUUUUCCAAAGGAAAAUAAAGGAAAGAAAAUUCAACAGUUCCGCCUCCCUCUCCCUGAUGCUUGACCAUCGUUACACUGGUGCUGUGACCCGGAUCCCAGAUCAGCUUGAUGCAGAUCGCCGCGCCGAGGGAGCUGCGUGGAAAUCUAGGAACGCUGUCUGUACUGCAGUUUCGUUUAUGGUCAGAUGCUGUAUAUGUACACCGAUUUCUGAUGGCCAUGAUUUGAUUUAUUUUCCAAAGGUAUGUGGCUCCAUAAUGUAAAUAGGUUGUAAUAAAGUGCUGUAACUGACUACAGUUAUGCCCAUUCAUGGGAAGUUGAAUGUUUUGUUUUGUAUGUAUUUUCUAUUACUAGUAAUCAGGCAGAAAAGCCGUUGCUUUUGAUCUGGUGCUGUAUAUGUACACCGAUUUCUGAUGGCCAUGAUUUGAUUUAUUUUCCAAAGGAAAAUAAAGGAAAGAAAAUUCAACAGUUCCGCCUCCGUCUCCCUGAUGCUUGACCAUCGUUACACUCACACCGAUCUUCCUCGUCGUCAUCGUCCUCUAUGUCCUCCGGUUCAACCAAAGCCACCCCAGCCUUAGCUGCAAUGUUGUGCAACAUAGCACACAU
ensembl:lncRNA